UACGGAGGGUGCGAGCGUUGUCCGGAAUCAUUGGGCGUAAAGGGCGCGUAGGUGGCCCGGUCAGCGUGCGGUGAAAGCUCGGGGCUCAACCCCGAGUCGGCCGUGCGAACUGCUGGGCUUGAGCACUGUAGAGGCAGGCGGAAUUCCGGGUGUAGCGGUGGAAUGCGUAGAGAUCCGGAGGAACACCGGUGGCGAAGGCGGCCUGCUGGGCAGUGGCUGACACUGAGGCGCGACAGCGUGGGGAGCAAACAGG
rnacentral:rRNA from 1 species